rnacentral:rRNA from 1 species
CAGAGGGGGCAAGCGUUAUUCGGAGUUAUUGGGCGUAAAGGGCGCGUAGGCGGCUUUUCAAGUGACGGGUGAAAUCCCUCGGCUUAACCGAGGAACUGCCUGUCAGACUGGAAGGCUUGAGACCGGGAGAGGUGAGUGGAAUUCCCAGUGUAGCGGUGAAAUGCGUAGAUAUUGGGAGGAACACCAGUGGCGAAGGCGGCUCACUGGACCGGAACUGACGCUGAGGCGCGAAAGCGUGGGGAGCAAACAGGAUUAGAUACCCUGGUAGUCCACGCUGUAAACGUUGGGCGCUAGGUGUGGGGGGCCUCUCCGGUUCUCUGUGCCGCAGCUAACGCAUUAAGCGCCCCGCCUGGGGAGUACGGCCGCAAGGCUA